UACGAAGGGUGCUAGCGUUGUUCGGAAUUACUGGGCGUAAAGCGCGCGUAGGCGGCUAUCCAAGUCAGGGGUGAAAUCCUUGGGCUCAACCCAAGAAUUGCCUUUGAAACUGGAUAGCUAGAGUGUCGGAGGGGAUAGCGGAAUUGCUAAUGUAGAGGUGAAAUUCGUAGAUAUUAGCAGGAACACCGGUGGCGAAGGCGGCUAUCUGGACGACAACUGACGCUGAGGCGCGAAAGCGUGGGGAUCAAACAGG
rnacentral:rRNA from 1 species